AGCGAACGCUGGCGGCAGGCCUAACACAUGCAAGUCGAACGAAGUCUUCGGACUUAGUGGCGGACGGGUAAGUAACACGUGGGAACGUACCUUUUGGUUCGGAACAACUCAGGGAAACUUGAGCUAAUACCGGAUGAGCCCUUAGGGGGAAAGAUUUAUCGCCGAAAGAGCGGCCCGCGUUAGAUUAGCUAGUUGGUGAGGUAAAGGCUCACCAAGGCUACGAUCUAUAGCUGGUCUGAGAGGAUGAUCAGCCACACUGGGACUGAGACACGGCCCAGACUCCUACGGGAGGCAGCAGUGGGGAAUCUUGCGCAAUGGGCGAAAGCUUGACGCAGCCAUGCCGCGUGAAUGGUGAAGGUCUUAGGAUUGUAAAAUUCUUUUACCAGGGACGAUAAUGACGGUACCUGGAGAAAAAGCCCCGGCUAACUUCGUGCCAGCCGCCGCCGUAAGAC
rnacentral:rRNA from 1 species